UUAGAAAAAAAAUUAUAAAAAGUGGUCAUAACAUAGAAAGAGGUUACAGUUUGACUAGACUUUGUAAUAGUUUAACCUCUAUUUGAACCAAGCGCUGAAUUUAUGAAAAAUUGUAGCAUGGCGUACUGGACUGGGUCACUGUCAAGAUUUUCGUUGAAGAUUCCAAUUGGCGAAAGAUAUACUGAUCCAGACCAUGUUAUAUUCCUCUCUGUUUCAUAAAUUUGUUUCAGUAGGAAAUUCUCGUGCUCGGCAAGGUUUUCAAUAAAUUUCAUUUGAUGAAGAAAGCGUGUGUACAAAGUGGCGCAACAUUUGCAGUUUUAUAUAUGAAAAUAUUUGAAAAUACUUAUUAGUACUCUCAUAAUGUUUGCUUAUGCUCUUCCUUAAGACUUUGCGCUCGAAAACUUCCAACUCAUUGGUCACAGUUGAGGACAUCGUGAACCAAAUUGGAAAGGCGUAAAGAAGAACCGAUCGAAUCGACACCUUAUACAAAAGCAACUUCGUUUGUUGUGGCAGAUAUACAUAUAUUAUUAAAAAGAUAUGAAAACGAUCCAACUAUAUUUCUCGCUUUUUGCUAAUCAAGUUUCACAUGUUUGAUAAAUUUCAAAAGUUUGUCAAAGUUGAUGCCCAAGUAUUUUAUGCUUUCUUUGAAUGGGAUUUCAAUACCACCAAGUGAGACUUGCAGACCUUUGCUUUCAGGAACGACUGAUUUUGAACAUUUACCUGAAACGCUCCGGAUGCAUAUGGCUUCAGAUUUUCCUGCAUUGAUGGUAAUGGCCCAUGUUUUGUAGUAGUCGUUUAUGAUUGUUAAAUGUGCUAAUACUUGUUGCAAGACAAUCGCAGGGGAUGAGUUGUACACAUAAAUUGCCUGUGAGCUUGAAGCAGUGUGGGGAAAAUCAUAUAGAAACAUGUUAAAAAGGGAAUGCGCCAACACACUUCCUUGAGAAACGCUGCUGCUUACAGUGCCCGAUAAAGAUAAAACAUUUUUAAUCUUGACUUCAAAUUUUCGAUCCGAAAGAAAGAUCUAAAUCUCCUUAAAAAGGCAAGGGUCAACCUCCAAGUUAAUCAGUUUAUAUAUUAUUGCUUUGUGCCAAACGGAGUCAAAUGCUAUUUCAAUGUCCAAUAGCAUUUCAAUGUCCAAGGAGAUUGCAACAGUACAAAUUUGGUUUCUGAAAUUUGUAGUUAUGUCAGUUUGGAAUUUUAAAAGGGCAUGUUGGGUGGAAUGCUUCUUUUUAAAACAAAAUUGAAAAUCAGAAUGGGACUGAUAUAAUAAAUUCCUUCUCAAUUUUUAUUUUCAAAACAUGUUCAAAUAUCUUCCCGACAUUUGACAACAAGGAAAUUGGGCGAAAAUCUCCUGGAACAUCGCUAGUGGGCUUUUUCUUAAUUGGAGUAAUAUGGGCCAAUUUUCAACUAGCUGGUAAAUAACCAUUGUUUAUACAGUUAUUGUAUAUGCAGAUUUAAUUGUUCCAGAAUCUGUGAAAUGGUAAUCAUCCGGGUUAGCCAAUGCUCUUACGUUAUCAUCAAAUGAGAAGAUGUGGUUUAGAACUGCAGUAACAAAAGAUGAUAUCCUUGUAUCCAGAUCAUCUACCGGGCUACCAGGAACAGUCACACGAAACGUGGAGUUGUUAGCAAAAUGGCGACUUCUUUCUCCCAGAUAUGGAAUAAAUUUCUAAAUGCAGACGGACCAGGUUUGAUUGUAAACAAUCUCUCACUAAAUUGUUUGGCUUGUUCCAAAGCUGUUGUCUCUUUUAUUAUUGUUUUCAAUAACUGGAUUUGCUUUGAUAAUAUCUUAUACUCACUGUUUGAACCGUUGAGUGGAGCGGACGUAUUGUUA
rnacentral:sRNA from 1 species